CAGCCGCCACGGUAAUACGAAGGGGGCUAGCGUUGCUCGGAAUGACUGGGCGUAAAGGGCGCGUAGACGGUUCGCUAAGUCUGUUGUGAAAGCCCCGGGCUCAACCUGGGAAUGGCAAUGGAUACUGGCGAGCUAGAGUGUGUCAGAGGAUGGUGGAAUUCCCGGUGUAGCGGUGAAAUGCGUAGAGAUCGGGAGGAACAUCAGUGGCGAAGGUGGCCAUCUGGGACAACACUGACGCUGAGGCACGAAAGCGUGGGGAGCAAACAGGAUUAGAUACCCCCGUAGUCCCUGUCUCUUAUAC
rnacentral:rRNA from 1 species